GACGAACGCUGGCGGCGUGCUUAACACAUGCAAGUCGAACGAUGAAGCUGGAGCUUGCUCCGGUGGAUUAGUGGCGAACGGGUGAGUAACACGUGAGCAAUCUGCCCUUGACUCUGGGAUAACUGCGGGAAACUGUAGCUAAUACCGGAUACUUUCCUUGGUGGGCAUCCACUGGGGAAGAAAGAAUUUCGGUCAAGGAUGAGCUCGCGGCCUAUCAGCUAGUUGGUGAGGUAAUGGCUCACCAAGGCGACGACGGGUAGCCGGCCUGAGAGGGUGACCGGCAAAGCUGGAACUGAGACACAGUCCAGACUCCUACGGGAGGCAGCAGUGGGGAAUAUUGCACAAUGGGCGAAAGCCUGAUGCAGCAACGCCGCGUGAGGGACGAAGGCCUUCGGGUUGUAAACCUCUUUUAGCAGGGAAGAAGCGAAAGUGACGGUACCUGCAGAAAAAGCACCGGCUAACUACGUGCCAGCCGCCGCGGUAA
rnacentral:rRNA from 1 species